rnacentral:rRNA from 1 species
AGCAGCCGCGGUAAUUCCAGCUCCAAUAGCGUAUAUUAAAGUUGUUGCAGUUAAAAAGCUCGUAGUUGAAUUUCGGGAUCAGUUCGUCGGUCGUGCCUUUGGUAUGUACUGGUGUUACUGGUUCCUCCCUUCUGACGAACCGUCAUGUCAUUAAUUUGGUGUGGCGGGAAAUCAGGACUGUUACUUUGAAAAAUUAGAGUGUUUAAAGCAGGCUCGCGCUUGAAUACAUUAGCAUGGAAUAAUGAAAUAGGACGUUCGAUCCUAUUUUGUUGGUUUCUAGGAUUGACGUAAUGAUUAAUAGGGAUAGUUGGGGGCAUUAGUAUUCAAUUGUCAGAGGUGAAAUUCUUGGAUUUAUUGAAGACUAACUACUGCGAAAGCAUUUGCCAAGGAUGUUUUCAUUAAUCAAGAACGAAAGUUAGGGGAUCGAAGACGAUCAGAUACCGUCGUAGUCUUAACCAUAAACUAUGCCGAC